GUCCACGCCGUAAACGUUGGGCACUAGGUGUGGGCCUCAACCAACGGGGUCCGUGCCGUCGCUAACGCAUUAAGUGCCCCGCCUGGGGAGUACGGCCGCAAGGCUAAAACUCAAAGGAAUUGACGGGGGCCCGCACAAGCAGCGGAGCGUGUUGCUUAAUUCGAUGCAACGCGAAGAACCUUACCUGGGCUUGACAUGUAGGGAAAAGCCGUAGAGAUACGGUGUCCUUCGGGCCGUUACACAGGUGGUGCAUGGCUGUCGU
rnacentral:rRNA from 1 species